rnacentral:rRNA from 1 species
GGCGGCGAGAAACUCCCGGGCAAGGUGACCUUCGUCUCGGCGCAGGAGCAUACAGGCCCGGUGAGCGUCGGCCCGUCGGUGGACCGAGGAAGACCGUCGCGGAGCGGCGUCGACCGUUCGUCGUGUGUUGGCGUUCGACUCGGGGGGACUGGUUCCAGUGCCCUCGGACCGCGCCGGCGCAGCGGCGGGCGCGCACGGCGUCGCGCCUGGGGUCGGUGGCGAAACGGCCGGCAACCUGUCCGACCCGUCUUGAAACACGGACCAAGGAGUCUAACAUGUGCGCGAGUCGUUGGGCGCUACGAAACCCGAAGGCGCAAUGAAAGUGAAGGCCCGGUCUCCGGCCGGCCUGGGUGGGAUCCCGGCGGUCUCGGCCGUCGGGCGCACCACCGGCCCGUCUCGUUCGUUACGUCGAGGAGGCGGAGCAAGAGCGUACACGUUGGGACCCGAAAGAUGGUGAACUAUGCCCGAGUAGGACGAAGCCAGAGGAAACUCUGGUGGAGGUCCGCAGCGAUUCUGACGUGCAAAUCGAUCGUCAAACUUGGGUAUAGGGGCGAAAGACUAAUCGAACCAUCUAGUAGCUGGUUCCUGUCGAAGUUUCCCUCAGGAUAGCUGGCGCUCGUCGUGAGCAGUUUUAUCCGGUAAAGCGAAUGACUGGAGGCCUUGGG